GAUAUGAACCGUUAUAACCGGCGAUACCCGAAUGGGGAAACCCAGUGUGAUUCGUCACACUAUCAUUAACUGAAUCCAUAGGUUAAUGAGGCGAACCGGGGGAACUGAAACAUCUAAGUACCCCGAGGAAAAGAAAUCAACCGAGAUUCCCCCAGUAGCGGCGAGCGAACGGGGAGGAGCCCAGAGCCUGAAUCAGCAUGUGUGUUAGUGGAAGCGUCUGGAAAGGCGCGCGAUACAGGGUGACAGCCCCGUACACAAAAGCGCAUGUGCUGUGAGCUCGAUGAGUAGGGCGGGACACGUGGUAUCCUGUCUGAAUAUGGGGGGACCAUCCUCCAAGGCUAAAUACUCCUGACUGACCGAUAGUGAACCAGUACCGUGAGGGAAAGGCGAAAAGAACCCCGGCGAGGGGAGUGAAAAAGAACCUGAAACCGUGU
rnacentral:rRNA from 1 species